UGAUUGUGAGAUUCCCAAAUUGAAUACCGUAUUCAAUGUCAAUUUGAGUCUCGCACAGUCACA
rnacentral:pre_miRNA from 1 species